GACGAACGCUGGCGGCGUGCUUAACACAUGCAAGUCGAACGAAGUGGCGAACGGGUGAGUAACGCGUAAUCAACCUGCCCUUCAGAGGGGGACAACAGUUGGAAACGACUGCUAAUACCGAAUACUGAAGGAGGGGAUUGCGUGGGAGUAGCUAGUUGGAGGGGUAACGGCCCACCAAGGCGAUGAGCAGUAGCCUGUUUGGGAGGGUGAACGGACACAUGGGGACUGCGACACGGCCCAGACUCCUACGGGAGGCAGCAGUGGGGAAUCUUCUGCAAUGGACGAAAGUCUGACGGAGCAACGGCGCGUGAGUGAUGACGGCCGUCGGGUUGUAAAGCUCUGUUAAUCGGGACGCGGUACCGGAAUAGAAAGCCACGGCUAACUACGUGCCAGCAGCCGCGGUAAUAC
rnacentral:rRNA from 1 species